GGGCCGCUAGCUCAGUGGUAGAGCACCUGACUUUUAAUCAGGGUGUCCCGGGUUCGAUCCCCGGGCGGCCCA
rnacentral:tRNA from 1 species